CAGGGAGUGGCUCAGGCAGCUGGGGAGGAACAGCAGGUCGUGUGGAUCGGGGGUCAUCAUCCUGGUGACAGCAAGUCCCUUGCCGCAGGGGGGCCAGUCCUAGAGGAGAAAGGACAGGCAGGAAGGGGUCACAGGUCACCACGUGGCGUUCCAUGGCUCUUGGUCACACCUGCCAAGGCCCCCACCCCACUCCCCAGCCAGGGCCCUGACAGCAUCCCCAGGAGUCGGGCCAAGCCACUAGGGGCCGAGGGAAGUGGGGCCCGGGGCAGGGGACCGCCUGGGGACACCUGGCUGGGCAGAGGUCUGGGCGGGGGCGAGGCUUGGGGCAGAGGUCUGCGGGCUGGGGCGCUUUUCCACCAGCGGGAAGGCGCCGGCCCGGCCUCGCGGGGUGGGGGGCAGGGGCGCCUUCUGGGAGGGCGCCCGCAGGCCCCGUCCCGGCCCAGCCUGCACUUCCCGCCUCCGCCGCUGGGGGCCGCCCGCGAGCUCGGGCUCCCGACACGUGGACACGUCCGCGUCCCGGCCGCCGGGACUCCGCUCGCGCCCCCCAGCUCCAGCCCCGCGCCCGCGCCCGCGCCCCCGGCCCCGCCUCUCCCGGCAGGGACCGGAAGGGCUCGCCGGCCCGGCCCGGGGGGAGGGGGGCACUUCCUGCGCCCGGCCCCGCCCCCGCCCCGCGCGCCCCCGCACUCGGGGAACCCCAGCUCCUCCUGCGCCCCGGUGCCCGCGCCCGCGCCCGCGCCCGCCCCUCGCGGGCGAGGAGGGAGGGGAGGGGAGAGGGGAGGGGAGAGGGGAGGUGCCCCCCACCCCCGGGUCGGAGCGCGGGGCUGCGGGUGGAAUCGGACGCGACGCCGGGCGGGGAGUGAGGGAAGUGAAACCGGGCGGCGGGGCGGCCCGGGGGCGGCGAGCGGGGUCCUGCCAGAUGCGCUGCGGGGACCGGAGGCCCCGCGCCAGGCCCCCAGGGCGACUCCGCGGGAGGAGGCGGGGACCGGCCGGCCUGCCCGGCCCCCAGGGGCGCGCCCUCGCGCUGACUCGGCCGCGUCCCCCAUCGGUGCGCGGCCCGCACCCCGGCCCGGCCCGGCCCCACCCACGUGGGCGGCCGCAGCGGGCGUAGGUCCCCAGAACGGCCCGCCCGGGGCCCCUGCGCCCCGAGGGGGGACACCGCGCGCCCCCCCGCGCCCCCCCGCGCCCCCCUCCCCAGGCGUGCUUCCGGCCGGGCCGGAAGGAGCCGGAAUUUGGAAUGUUUGGAAGGAGCUCUAA
rnacentral:lncRNA from 1 species